rnacentral:rRNA from 1 species
AUGGCCUCCUCCUCGGAUGCGAACUCGGCGACCAACGAUGGCGGUGGUAGGGGUGGUUAUGGUGGCGGCGGCGGUGCAACUGCAGAUCCCGAUCUAGAAAACUUCUUCGACCAGUUGGAUCUCAAUGAGGAAGAAUUUGAUGAUGUGGAGAUUGAUGAUGACGACCCGGAAAUCGAAGAGAGCGUUCGUUGGUUAGCCCUUGCUAGGGUUCAUACCGACAAAACCUUCUCGGCAUCAGCCUUUUACAAGGAGAUGCGGGCAGCGUGGAAUCCAGCGCAGGGAGUCAGAUUCCGCCCGGUCGGACCGAACAGAUUUGUCGUCCAAGCCGCGUGCUUGGGUGACUGGGAG